rnacentral:rRNA from 1 species
AUUGAACGCUGGCGGCAGGCCUAACACAUGCAAGUCGAGCGGUAGAGAGAAGCUUGCUUCUCUUGAGAGCGGCGGACGGGUGAGUAAUGCCUAGGAAUCUGCCUGGUAGUGGGGGAUAACGUUCGGAAACGGACGCUAAUACCGCAUACGUCCUACGGGAGAAAGCAGGGGACCUUCGGGCCUUGCGCUAUCAGAUGAGCCUAGGUCGGAUUAGCUAGUUGGUGAGGUAAUGGCUCACCAAGGCGACGAUCCGUAACUGGUCUGAGAGGAUGAUCAGGCACACUGGAACGGACACGCGGUCCAGACUCCUACGGGGGGCAGCAGUGGGGAAUAUUGGACAAUGGGCGAAAGCCUGAUCCAGCCAUGCCGCGUGUGUGAAGAAGGUCUUCGGAUUGUAAAGCACUUUAAGUUGGGAGGAAGGGUUGUAGAUUAAUACUCUGCAAUUUUGACGUUACCGACAGAAUAAGCACCGGCUAACUCUGUGCCAGCAGCCGCCGUAA